AUAUCAAUAAGCGGAGGAAAAGAAACUAACAAGGAUUCCCCUAGUAACUGCGAGUGAAGAGGGAAAAGCUCAAAUUUAAAAUCUGGCAGUUAUGCUGUCCGAGUUGUAAAUUAGAGAAGUGUUAUCUGUGUUGGCCUGUGCAAAAGUCCUUUGGAAAAGGGCAUCAUAGAGGGUGACAAUCCCGUCUUUGGCACAGAUUACCAAUGCUCUGUGAUGCACUCUCAACGAGUCGAGUUGUUUGGGAAUGCAGCUCUAAACGGGUGGUAAAUUCCAUCUAAAGCUAAAUAUUGGCGAGAGACCGAUAGCGCACAAGUACCGUGAGGGAAAGAUGAAAAGAACUUUGAAAAGAGAGUUAAACAGUAU
rnacentral:rRNA from 1 species